UUUUUUUUUUUUUUUUUUUUUUUUUUAAUGUUGAAGGCCUCAUCUGACUAGACAGGAAAGAAUAUCCUGUAACGAUUCCUUUUUGCCAGGGUCCUUUGCUCUCAGCAAAACAGUUAGUUUCUGUUUCUUAGGCCUUCCUGUGGAAACCCUACCGUUUCCUGGCAUCAGUGCCCACUGAGAGAACAAGUUCACGUUUGUUCUUCCCCGAGCAGAGAGAAUGUGUGAGCUGGAUUCUUCAGAGGAGGAGCUGAAGCUGUCCCCGAGCCACAUGUUAGGUGGUUGGGAGGCCCAGAUGGUUUCUUUUGUUCCCCUGUUAGAGAGCAGCUCAUCCCAUACAGGCGCCGUCCUGUUCAGCUCCAGUUCACCAGGAGUCAUUUCCUGUCCUACUUAGUGUCCACUGCCUGCUUGGGCAUUCUUCCUGUGGUUUCAUUUGUUUGAUUCAGCUCUUUUCUAAAGAAACAUUUUUAAUUAUGUGUAUGUACAUCUUUGUACAAGUGCCCUAAGGAGGUCAGAGGAGUCCCAUCAUCCCCUGGGAGCUGGGUUAAAGCCUGAUGUGGGUGCUGGGAACUGAACUUGGAUCCUCUUAAGUCUCUCCAGCCCCAGAACUGUGUGUGUGUGUGUGUGUGUGUGUGUGUGAGAGAGAGAGAGAGAGAGAGAGAGAGAGAGAGUCUCAUUGUAUAGAUGAGGCUGGGGGAGGGGGCAGUGGAGGCUGGGGGACAACCUGUGAGACUCUCUUCUCUCCUUCCACCAUUGGCUCCCAAGGGUUAAGCUCACCUCAUUAGGCUUGACAGCCAGCACUUGUCACCACUGCUCUACUGCACUGCCCUGGCCCUGAUCUUGAGCUUCUGGUCCGUCUGUCCCAGCCUCCCCAGUCCUGGGACUGCACGUGUUAGCCACCGUAUGGUGCAUGAUACAUCUCUAGCGUAUGAAUUACAGUGACAGAUUUAAGAUUCUUUUCAUUGACGAAGUAUAGAAGAAUUUCACACAAGCUCCUGAAGAUUUAAAUCAUUGUCAUUUUUUAACUAGCCUUGCAGGGGGAAACUUCAAUAGAUUUCAAUGCAACUAGAACAAUAGGUUGUUGUUGCCUUGAACCCAAGAUCCUUCCACCUCAGCCUCUGGAGUACUGGCACCACAGGCUUUCACUACCAUGAGAAAUCUGUCAGGAUGUGUGCGCCACUUGAGUGUGCUUCGUCCCUUUGGAAAAGCCGGGCCGAUGUCAUUACCUUCACUUCAUGGAUAGGAACUUAGAAAGCGGGGCCUGGCGGUGUUUGUUCCUGUCAGUAUCUAUCAUUCACGGUGCUGAGGCAAGAGAACUGCAGCCCAGGAGUUUAAGCCCAGCCUGGAUAAUAUAGGGAGACUGUCUCAAAAAAUAAAAAAUAA
ensembl:sense_intronic Gm44190 predicted gene, 44190